rnacentral:rRNA from 1 species
ACCCCUAGCAAAUCUCAAAAAACCGUCUCAGUUCGGAUUGUGCUCUGCAACUCGAGCACAUGAAGUCGGAAUCGCUAGUAAUCGCAGAUCAGCAUGCUGCGGUGAAUACGUUCCCGGGCCUUGUACACACCGCCCGUCACACCAUGGGAGUUGGCUUUACCUGAAGGCGGUGCGCUAACCAGCAAUGGAGGCAGCCGACCACGGUAGGGUCAGCGACUGGGGUGAAGA